CUUUUUUUUUCUCUCUCUCUCUUUCUCUUUCUCUCUUCGAGCGGAGACGUGCAGUAGAGUUGCAGGCUGGCGGCGUGGAAGGGAAGGGAAGGGAAGAGAGGAGGAGGAGGAAGGAGCUGGAGAGGAAGGAGAUCCUCGUCCGGCGUUCGAG